GCGCUUGCGGCGGGCGGUUCAGACCUCGCAGACCUGGCCCCUCGCCAAGGGGCCCAGGAGGCGGCUCUUGGCCGCCCGCACCGCUCUUUCCGGGCACCGAGUCUCUCGGACUCGUCACGCAUCAGUGCCCUGCGGCAUGUCUUCUUCCUUUACCUGCCGCUCUCCGCCGCUUCCACCCUCCGGUCGCUCUCCUCUCUUCCGCUACCCCAGGUUGGAGGAACUUUCUGGCUCGCUCCUGACUUCACUGGGACUUUAUCGGCCUGUCACGUGGUUGCUUAUCGUUUUUCCUGUGUUUUGACUCCUCUGGGAGAGAACCCUUUAUCGGGAGGUGAAGGACUCUGCCUCAAGAUGGGGAAGUCUGCCCCCCUCCGGGGAUGCGGAUGCGUUGCUGAUGCUUCUCCAGAGGUCUCUGAUCCGGGCUGAUGGUCUUCUUCCAAACCCUCUUCUAUCUGGUGUACAUCUGGAGGAUUGACUGGAACUGUGCGGCAGAACAGCACUGCCCAGGCCGCCAUGCACAGGUGUCAGUGAGUCUGCGGGCUGAAUGAGGGACUCAGACCUCAGGGGGAGACCACGUGCACCAUGCUUCAAGCCUGGUUACUAGAUCCAAGUCAAGUUACUGGUCAGAGACAGAUGGCUUUGCUUCAAGUCAACCCAGUCCUGACAUCCGAGUUUCCCUCCCAGCAGCCUGUGUGAGAGAAGACGCACAGGACUGCUGCUGUAUCUCUUGGAGCCUGUUGUGCUUGUCUGGGGCAUGGGCUUCCAUCACAGGCUGUGCACGGUGUGAGUCUACAAGAGAAACUUCCUAAGAUCAGCAUCAAGAAAGGCUGUAAAAGAAUGGAAUUAGAACACUUCCUAACACCAUACACGCAGAUAAACUUAGAAUGGAUUAAAGACCUAAAGUAAAGCCAGGAACUGUAAAACUCUUAGAGGAAAACAUAGGCAGAACACUCUGACAUAAAUUGCAGCAAGAUCCUCUUUGACCCACCUCCUAGAGAAAUGGAAAUAAAAACAAGUGGGACCUAAUUAAAAGCUUCUGCACAGCAAAGGAGACUAUUAUAAACAAAAUUUAAAAAAAAACAACCCUCAGAGGAGGGAGGUUCAAAAGGGAGGGGAGAUGUGUAUAACCUAUGGCUGAUUCAUGUUGAGGUUUGACAGAAAACAGCAAAAUUCGGUAAAGCAAUUAUCCUUCAAUAAAAAAUUAAAAACAACCCUCAGAGUGGGAGAAAAUAAUUGCUAAUGAAACAACUGACAAAGGAUUAAUCUCCAAAAUAUACAAGGAGCUCAUGCAGCUCAAUACCAGAAAAACAACCCAAUCAAAAAAUGGGCAGAAGACCUAAACAAACAUUUCUCCAAAGACAUACACGGGACGACAAGAGGAUGAGAUGGUUGGAUGGCAUCACCAACUCAAUGGACAUGAGUUUGGGUAAACUCUGGGAGUUGGUGAUGGACAGGGGGGCCUGGCAUGCUGCUGUUCAUGGGGUUGCCAGGAGUCACACAACUGAGCGACUGAA